rnacentral:lncRNA from 1 species
GGGGUGUUUGGUUGGGCAUUCCCAAGGGGCUUUGGGCCCCCAAAGCCCCUUGGGGAAAAAUUGUGGUGUUUGGCAAAAUAUUUGAAAGCCCCUUUGCCCAAAUAUGAGCAUUCCGAAGGCUGAAUGCUGAAAGCUGGGGAGGGGCGGCAUUCGGCAUUCGGCAUUCCAGAAAUGCAAAAAUUACUGUUCAUCUUCUUCUCCGGCUCAUCUUCUUCUCCGCUCGGCUCAUCUUCUCCGGCUCAUCUUCUUCUCCGCUCGGCUCAUCUUCUUCCCCGCCGCCUCAGAGUUCGGCUUCUCCGGCAACCACCACCACCGCGGGGGUCGCGCGUCCCCGGUGACCACCGCCCAGGUGGCGCGACCGCGACCUAGGCGGCGUCGCGACCCGCGAC